rnacentral:rRNA from 1 species
GGGGACAUUGGUGACAGGUGGUGCAUGGUUGUCGUCAGCUCGUGUCGUGAGAUGUUGGGUUAAGUCCCGCAACGAGCGCAACCCUUGUCUUUAGUUGCCAUCAUUAAGUUGGGCACUCUAGAGAGACUGCCAGGGAUAACCUGGAGGAAGGUGGGGAUGACGUCAAAUCAUCAUGCCCCUUAUGCUUAGGGCUACACACGUGCUACAAUGGGUAGUACAGAGGGUUGCCAAGCCGUAAGGUGGAGCUAAUCCCUUAAAGCUACUCUCAGUUCGGAUUGUAGGCUGAAACUCGCCUACAUGAAGCUGGAGUUACUAGUAAUCGCAGAUCAGAAUGCUGCGGUGAAUGCGUUCCCGGG